rnacentral:rRNA from 1 species
UAGCGUAGGGGGCUAGCGUUGUCCGGAAUCAUUGGGCGUAAAGCGCGUGUAGGCGGUUCGGUAAGUCCGCUGUGAAAGUCGGGGGCUCAACCCUCGGAUGCCGGUGGAUACUGUCGGACUAGAGUACGGAAGAGGCGAGUGGAAUUCCUGGUGUAGCGGUGAAAUGCGCAGAUAUCAGGAGGAACACCAAUUGCGAAGGCAGCUCGCUGGGACGUUACUGACGCUGAGACGCGAAAGCGUGGGGAGCAAACAGG